rnacentral:tRNA from 1 species
GCCUCCGUAGCUCAAUGGUAGAGCGCCUGAUUUGUAAUCAGAUGGUUGGCGGUUCAAAUCCGUCCGGGGGCUCCA